CGACAGUUCAACAGGACAUUGUUCAACAUUUGACCGUCCUAUUUAAAUAAAAAUUUAUGAUUAGUAUUUUCUAUUGUUAUUAGAUACUAAAACAUAAAUAAUAUUUUAUGUGUAACUAUUUAUUAAAUUUUUUAAGAAUUUUUUUAAAUAAGACGGAUGGUCAAACUUUGGACAUGGAAAUACACAACUGCACUUAAA
rnacentral:pre_miRNA from 1 species